GACGAACCGAGCGAACGUUGUUCGGAAUCACUGGGCUUAAAGGGCGCGUAGGCGGGCUGUCAAGUCUGGGGUGAAAUCCCGCGGCUCAACCGUGGAACUGCCUCAGAUACUGACGGUCUCGAGGGGGAUAGGGGCGAGCGGAACUGUGAGUGGAGCGGUGAAAUGCGUUGAGAUCGGAAGGAACGCCCGUGGCGAAAGCGAGUCCCUGGACCCUUUCUGACGCUGAGACGCGAAAGCCAGGGGAGCGAACGGG
rnacentral:rRNA from 1 species